rnacentral:rRNA from 1 species
AUGCGGUUCCGGUUGCUUUUACUUGACCAACCUUGCUGCCUACCUAAUCUGCAACUUUUACGGUGCCAUGACAAGAAAUAUACACAUGUUCCUUUCAACCACGACAAACUUCAUUUAUUUAUACUGUGUAAUGCUGAGUUUCCUUGUGAAAUCUAUGUCCUGAUCUGGUUUGGGUUGGUCGAAUCGCAGAUUGGCAAGGCCGAUGGUGAGAAGUGGAAGUACCUGAGUGAUGAUGUACCAUGGAAUAUGCCCAGCCACGUGGAAGCAACAACUCUAUUUCAAGGCCUCCCUCUACAUCUCCCUGUUCCGAUUUCCUAG